rnacentral:rRNA from 1 species
UACGAAGGGUGCAAGCGUUAAUCGGAAUUACUGGGCGUAAAGGGUGCGUAGGCGGUUGUUUAAGUCUGUCGUGAAAGCCCCGGGCUCAACCUGGGAACCGCGCUUGAGACUGGAGAACUAGAGUUCGGGAGAGGAUGGUGGAAUUCCCAGUGUAGAGGUGAAAUUCGUAGAUAUUGGGAAGAACACCGAUGGCGAAGGCAGCCAUCUGGACCGACACUGACGCUGAGGCGCGAAAGCGUGGGGAGCAAACAGG